rnacentral:rRNA from 1 species
ACGUAGGGUGCAGGCGUUAAUCGGAAUUACUGGGCGUAAAGCGUGCGCAGGCGGCUCCUUAAGUCAGAUGUGAAAUCCCCGGGCUUAACCUGGGAACUGCGUUUGAAACUGGGGAGCUUGAGUGUGGAAGAGGGGGGUGGAAUUCCAGGUGUAGCAGUGAAAUGCGUAGAGAUCUGGAGGAACACCGAUGGCGAAGGCAGCCCCCUGGGCUAACACUGACGCUCAUGCACGAAAGCGUGGGGAGCAAACAGGA